GAUGAACGCUGGCGGCGUGCCUAAUACAUGCAAGUCGAGCGAACAGACGAGGAGCUUACUCCUCUGACGUUAGCGGCGGACGGGUGAGUAACACGUGGAUAACCUACCUAUAAGACUGGGAUAACUUCGGGAAACCGGAGCUAAUACCGGAUAACAUGUUGAACCGCAUGGUUCAACAGUGAAAGACGGUCUUGCUGUCACUUAUAGAUGGAUCCGCGUCGCAUUAGCUAGUUGGUAAGGUAACGGCUUACCAAGGCAACGAUGCGUAGCCGACCUGAGAGGGUGAGCGGCCACACUGGAACUGAGACACGGUCCAGACUCCUACGGGAGGCAGCAGUAGGGAAUCUUCCGCAAUGGGCGAAAGCCUGACGGAGCAACGCCGCGUGAGUGAAGAAGGUCUUCGGAUCGUAAAACUCUGUUAUUAGGGAAGAACAAAUGUGUAAGUAACUAUGCACGUCUUGACGGUACCUAAUCAGAAAGCCACGGCUAACUACGUG
rnacentral:rRNA from 1 species